GACGAACGCUGGCGGCGUGCUUAACACAUGCAAGUCGAACGGAAAGGCCCUGCUUUUGUGGGGUGCUCGAGUGGCGAACGGGUGAGUAACACGUGAGUAACCUGCCCUUGAUUUUGGGAUAACUUAAGGAAACUGGGGCUAAUACCGGAUAGGAGCUCCUGCUGCAUGGUGGGGGUUGGAAAGUUUCGGCGGUUGGGGAUGGACUCGCGGCUUAUCAGCUUGUUGGUGGGGUAGUGGCUUACCAAGGCUUUGACGGGUAGCCGGCCUGAGAGGGUGACCGGCCACAUUGGGACUGAGAGACGGCCCAGACUCCUACGGGAGGCAGCAGUGGGGAAUAUUGCACAAUGGGAGGAAGCCUGAUGCAGCAACGCCGCGUUCGGGAUGACGGCCUUCGGGUUGUAAACCGCUUUCGCCUGUGACGAAGCUUGAGUGACGGUAAUGGGUAAAGAAGCACCGGCUAACUACGUG
rnacentral:rRNA from 1 species